rfam:Oryza meridionalis cultivar OR44 (W2112) chromosome 6, whole genome shotgun sequence.
AUUAAACGCAGUCAUGAGUUUCCCUGUCUAAUUUUGAUCGGCCGUCUUAUUUAAAUUUUUUAUGAUUAGUAUUUUUAUUGUUAUUAGAUAAUAAAACAUGAAAAGUACUAUUUUUUAAAAAAAAAUUAAAUAAGACGUAUAAUUAAAAUUGGAUACUUAAACUCAUGUUUGCGUUUAAA